rnacentral:misc_RNA from 1 species
UCUCCAUAUUGGUCAUGCCAAGGCAAUGUUUGUGGAUUUUGGCCUGGCGAAAGAGCGAGGUGGAGGCUGUUAUUUGAGGUAUGAUGACACAAAUCCGGAAGCUGAGAAGAAGGAAUAUAUUGAUCAUAUAGAAGAAAUUGUCAAAUGGAUGGGGUGGGAGCCUUUCAAGAUUACUUAUGCUAGUGAUUACUUCCAAGAUCUGUAUGAAUUAGCUGUGGAGCUCAUACGUAGGGGUCAUGCUUAUGUUGAUCACCAGACUCCU